UGGGCAUGUGUCUUUAGGCUGUUCAUGUUCAGAAGUGUUUUUCUAGUUGUGUGGUUUAUUUCUCCCCCUCUGAUGAGACAGGCAGGCUAGAGGGGGUUGGAGUGGGAGCAAAGCUCUUUCCCUAGCUAAGAUAGCACUCUGGUAAAGUCAUUUCUCCUGGAUAGUAGGUCUUUGUUAUAAAGAAACUUUGGGUAUAUUUCACAAUGAUUAUUCUUUCUCUCCUCUCUAGUCGGGUUCCUGGAGAUAAAACCCAAGAAAAGUGGGGAUAUUCCUAAUACUGCAUGCCCAGGAAUCUCUCACUCUCAAGUUAGCUCAUGCUCAGCCUUCAGGGAAGACCUACUCAGCCUCAAUGGGCAGUGCUCUCCACCCAGGUGUUGUUAGUGCCCUCUUUAUCAGAGCUGGAGGAGAAGGGAGCCCGAGGCGUGCAACUGUGUCCAGAAUUGGUGGGUUCUUGGUCUCACUGACUUCAAGAAUGAAGCCAUGGACCCUUGCGGGGAGUGUUACAGUUCUUAAAGAUGGUGUGUCUGGAGUUUGUUGCUUCUGAUGUUCAGACGUGUUCAGAGUUUCUUCCUUCUGGUGGGUUCGUGGUCUCACUGGCCUCAGGAGUGAAGCUGCAGACCUUCGGGGUGAAUGUUACAGUUCACAAAGAUGGGGCAUCUGGAGUUGUUCCUCCCUCCCGGAGUGAAGCUGCAGACCUUUGCAGGUAGUGUUACAGCUCAUUAAUGCAGCACAGACCCAAAGAGGGAGCAGCAGCACGAUUUACUGCUAAGAGAGAAAACACAAACCUUCCACAGAGUGGAAGGUGACACAAGCAGGUUGCUGCUGCUGGCCCGGGUGGCCUGCUUUUAUUCCCUUAUUCGGCCCCGCCCACAUCCUGCUGAUUGGUCCAUUUUGCAGAGCAUUGAUUGGUCCAUUUUACAGAGCGGUGAUUGGUCCGUUUUGACAGAGUGCUGAUUGGUGCCUUUACAAAUCUUUAGCUAGAGGGAAAAGUUCUCCGAGUCCCCACCUGUCCCAGAAGCCCAGCCGGCUACACCUCUCAAUGGCACUCGCGGGGGACUUGGCGGCACCUAGCCUGGGCACUCAGGCAGCCCAGAGGGAGCUCAUCCCCGGAUCAAGCCCAGCAGGCGCGGCCGGCUGCGCCUAGUGCAGGCCCGCGGAGCCCGCGCCCACCCGGAACUGCGCAGGCCCGCGAGCGCCAGGCGCAGCACCGGCUCCAGCCGGCACCUCUCCCUCCACACCUCCCCGCUAGCAGAGGGAGCCAACUCCGGCCUCGGCCAGCCCCAGAGAGGGGUCCCCACAGCGCAGCGGCGGGCUGAAGGGCUCCUCAAGCACGGCCAGGGCGGACGCCUAGGCCGAGGAGGCGCCAAGAGCGAUCGAGGGCUGCUAGCACGUUGUCACCGCUCACAACUACUGGAAAACAUUCAGGUAGGACCUUACUUCUGAAUGUAAGUGGACUCUCUGCCUUACUCCAUGGCCUGACUCUAAGCUGGUGAAAAGUAUAAAACCUUUGAACACUCAGUGUGCAUCGCCCCAGAAUGCAUCUAAAGGCCUCAUCCUCCAGGUAUGCAAGCUGUACCUCCUAGGAUGCAGUGCCCUGAACCCCACCCCUACCUGCUGUCUGCAGUCCAUAUCUGGAGUUUCUAAUCAAUUUUCAUGGACAGGGGUGAUGGGGGGGAUACAAAGAUCAGUUCUCAGUGUUUUAGGUUCCAC
rnacentral:lncRNA from 10 species